rnacentral:rRNA from 1 species
GAUGAACGCUGGCGGCGUGCUUAAUACAUGCAAGUCGAGCGAACAGAUCAGGAGCUUGUGCCUUUGACGUUUGCGGCGGACGUGUGUGUCACACGUGGGUAGCCCACCUAUAUGUGUGGGAAAACUUGGGGACACCGGCGCUAACACCGGAUAAUCUCUCGAACCGCAUGGUUCGAUAGUGAGAGAUGGUGUUGCUAUCACUUCUAGAGGGACCCGCGCCGUAUUAGCUAGUUGGUAAGGUAACGGCUUACCAAGGCGACGAUACGUAGCCGACCUGUGAGAGUGAUCGGCCACACGGGAACGGAAACACGGUCAAGACUACUGCGGGACGCAGCAGUAGCCAAUCUUCCGCAAUGGGCGAGAGCCUGACGGAGCAGCGCCGCGCGAGUGAUGAAAGUCUUCGGAUCGUAAUGCUCUGUUAUUAGGGAAGAACAUACGUGUAAGGAACUGUGCACUUCUUGACGGUACCUAGUAAGAAAGCCACGGCUAACUACGUG